CGCGCUUCCGGGCAGCGCCGGCGGGGUCGCGCCGGGCUGAGCUCCGGCGCUCUGGCCUCGGGUUCCCGGCUCCGAGAAACGGUUGCGACCGCCUCUGCCGCCGUCGCCGCAGGACCCGCCGGAGUCGAGCCGGAGCUGCGUCUCUCGGAGCGAUCCGGUGAGAGCGGGCGGCCGGCGUCGGCUGCGGCCCCGCGAUCUGCCCCGCGCCCUCCUUCGGGCCGUCUCGCCGCCGCCGCGAUGGGGGCCGCCCGGGGCCGCUCCUCCGUUCCGUCCCGUCCGCCGCGCCGCCGUUGAGCGCGUGGGCCGUGCCGCAGCCACGCGCCGGACAGAUUGAUUCCCUUUGGAGCUGUAAGUACUGAUGUAUUAAGGUGCAGCACUCAUUGCUCAUUGGUGCAGUCCCAAAAUGAAUGUCCAAGAGCAGGUUUCCCCUUGGACCUUGGAGCAAGUUUCACUGAAGAUGCCCCCCAUCUCCCAGUGCCUGAUGAGGAGGGUGAGCUGGUGUCCACAGACCCCAGGCCCAUCAGCCACAGCUUCUGCUCCGGGAAGGGUGCCGGUAUCAAAGGCGAGACUUCAGCAGCCACUCCGAGGCACUCAGUUCUGGACAUGGGGUAUGAGCCUGAGGGCAGCGCUUCACCCACCCCACCUUACUUGACGUGGGCUGAGUCACUGCACUACUUAUUAGAUGACGAAGAUGGGAUAAACCUGUUUAGGACUUUCCUGAAGCAGGACGGUGCUGAUCUUGGACUUCUGGUUUGAUUGCAGUGGCUUUAGGAAACUGGAGCCCUGGAUUUCAAAUGAGGAAAAAAGGCUGAAGCUGGCCAAAGCUAUUUACCAAAAGUACAUCCUUGAUAAUAAUGGCAUUGUGUCCAGGCAAAACCAAGCCAGCCACCAAGAGCUUCAUAAAGGACUGCAUCAUGAAGCAGCUGAUCGAUCCUGCCAUGCUUGACCAGGCCCAGACAGAAAUCCAGUCCACCAUGGAGGAGAAUACCUACCCCUCAUUCCUCAAGUCUGAUAAUUAUUUGGAAUAUACAAGGACAGGCUCAGAGAGCCCAAAGCUCUGUAGUGACCAGAGCUCUGGGUCAGGGACAGGGAAGGGCAUACCUGGAUACCUGCCCACUUUGAAUGAAGAUGAGGAAUGGAAGUGUGACCAGGACAUAGAUGAAGAUGAUGGCAGAGACCCUGAUCACCCUGGCAGGCUCACGCAGAAGCUGCUCCUGGAUACAGCCGCCCCGCAUGCCUCCUCAAGUAGACGGUACAGCCAAGGCAGAAUUCAGGUGAUGGUUACACCUGGCCAGGCCUUAAGCUCCAUGAGGAUAGAAGCUCCUUUGAGACCGUGCUCUAUGUAUCUCUUCAUCUGGCUGUUAACUUGUAUCCUGUGUGGUAUCCUUUAUUAAACUGGCUGCUCAUGGCUGCUGUGCUGUGCUGUGCUGUGCUGAUGCCAGCCCUGGGAGGAGAGGCUGGCCGGCUGAGGUGACUGGGCGUUGCAGGUCUCCCUCAGCAGGCAAAGACCGCAUCUUCUGUGGCUGCCUUCCUCUCUUCUGUGGCUGCCUUCCAGAGCUAUACUGCAGAGGUCCAGCUCCAUGCUGUUCAAGUCCCAUGGACGUGACUUUCCCCUGCUCUGAACAUCUCUUGAAUGUGUUCUUUAUCAGCAGUGCUGUUCAUAGUAUUGUGUCUUUGUUCUGGGGCUUUUUUCUUUCAUUGUGCUAAAAAGUCUAGUCCUUCAGAUUUUGGAAUUUGUUAAAUGUUAUGUCUUUGGUAAUUUCUUGUUUUCCGUUUUCACUGUUUUUCCAUUUUAGAGCUCCUGCUACUUAGAUGUUGGACCAUCUGGAAUGAGCCUUUAAAUUUUAAUUCUCCUUUUCUCCUGUAUUCCAUUUCUUGUUGUGUUUUCGAUCUUGCUAUUUAGUUUUCCUGCUGUAACUCCUGAGAGAGGAAAACGUGGGGCAAAAUACCUCUAAAGCCAAAAUCAGUCAAAGGGAGAAAUAAAGUUUAAAACCUGUUUAUUGCUUACAAACUGCAGUCUGGGGCCAUCUCUUUCCUGCCUGGGCAGAAGCAAGCAAGACUUCCCCCUCACCUCUCAGGUUCAGAUAAGCCCUAAAGUUGCCCAGGUAAUUACCCAGGUAAUUACCCAUUGAUAAGAGAUGAACAACUCUCCACCCCUGAAAAAUGCCUGUGAAUAUGCAGAUGCACUAAAGCCAGGAGAGAUACUCUGGAAAUAUUACAAUUUUAUCCACAGGCCACCCCUCCAGAAAUCUCGCCUUACAAUCUACUCAUUUCCCUUCUUCCCCAGUGGUCCCUGGGCGAGAAAACUGGAGUAUUGUGACCAGACUAAUGAUAUACAGUAGCCACAGUAAUAAAAUAAUGUUAAUCCUCAAGCCAGAGGAUUCAGCUAGGUUCAAAGCCUUACACAGAUUAAGUCCAUAGCUCGUCCAUUCCAUAGGCAGGCACUAGCUGAGGGUUCAGAGCAAUCAUCAUGCGGCAGCUGCAGCCAGGGGGCAUAUUCAGGCCACAAGGACUGUAGGAGAAAAUAGCCUUAAGGGCGAUAAGAUACAUGAUUAAUGACACCAGCAUAGGCAAAUCUUGUCCAUCAGGUAGGAUACAUGCUAGAGAGUGGUCCUGUGAUAGAAGAGUGGCAGGAAUGGGAUCUCAUCCUGAUCUAGUAUACCAGACUUUAACCCCCCUCCCUGUGGGAGUGACAGAUGGGUCAAUAUAUAGGGCUCCGGGAGGUACAGGCACUGGCCAUAAAAAUAAAACAAAACUUCGCUCUAAGAUGUGCUCUUACCUCCUGGACGUUUUGGGUACAUUACCAUGAUCUUUGGGGGCCACUCUGCUGUUACUCCAGGAAUACAAGGCCAGCUUCCAGGCCUUUCCCACAAUUGGCUAGAAGGGCCAGCCAUCGCUGGUCCAUGUGUCAAAAUGUCCAAUCAGCAGUGUCUCCAGGGGUUUAAUGCAGUGUCUCCAGGGGUUUAAUGCAGUUGGGGCUGGCAACAGGAUGUUGCCGUGCUGGCCAUACCCUGGCUUCAAUAACUCUUCUUCGGGUUGCACAUAGAAUUGUAUAGGAGAGGCAGCAAGGUGUGUUAGUAUAUCCACAGGGCUCAAAGCUCCUUUACAUGGCUUCUCAUUCAAAUGCCAUAGCACUUUCCAUAAGCAAACUGACCAACCCCUUAUACUAUUGGUGUCCGACUUUAGGCCAGAUUUCAACAAACUAUUGUACCUCUCUAGCAUGCCUGCCCCAGUAGGGUUAUAUGGUACAUGAAAUUUCUGCUUUAUUCCUAAUUGCUGCACCCAUCCUUGUAAUGCAUGUACAGUAAAGCAGGUGCCUUGAUCACCUGCAGCCCACCGUAGGCUGCAGAGAGAUGCUCUAGGCCCCUCUUGGUGGUUUGCUGAUCAGCACAAUGUGCAGGCAAAGCAACCAAUAGUCCAGUAGCCAUGGCCACACAAGUCAUGGCAUACCGAUAUCCUUCUGCUAUGGGCAGAGCCCCAAUAUAGUCUACCUGCCAUCUGACAAGGGGUAUUGGCUCCCUUACUGUUGUCCCAUGUUGCUGUGGGACUCAGUUUAAGUCCAUCUUAGAGCACACAAGGCACUCCUUCUGGGCUCUGCUGACUUCUUCAAAGGUCAGUGGCAAGCCCCACUGACGGGCUACAGCCCACAUAGUCUUUUGCCCUGCGUGCAACAAAUGCUGAUGUAGCCAUUGGGUCACAUCAGCGGCAGGCUUUCCUUCUAGCCAGCGCACCUGGGCCAGUGUGUCUGCUUCAUCAUUCCUUGUGGUUGCCAGAGGCAAAUGGCCAGUCACAUGAUAUACAGUAACAGUCUUAGUCCGGCCAGAGGCCCAUAGGUCUUGCCACAACUCUUGUCCCCAAAGGGGCCAGUGACCAACCAUCCAGUUGGCAUGGUACCAUGUUGGUAGCCACAGGGUCAAGCACCAAUAGACGGCCCAGCUGUCAGUGCAGACAACUAUGGGGGAAGGCUCCUGGGUGAUCAUGAGCCAUACUGCUUGCAACUCAGCCCAUUGACUACUCUUCCCCUCUCCAUCCUCCAUCCAUAUUGUCUCACUCUUAGGAUGGAAAGCCACAGCCCUCCACUUUGGGGGCUGCCCAUGACUGGAGCUGUCUGUAUACCAAGCAACUUCAGGUAUAGGGUCUUUUCCCUCCUGUUAAGGACUCUCGGCUACCAAUGGCUCAAAAGCAAGUUCUUCCUUCUUUCCACUGUUAUAGGUCACUGGCCCCAAUAAGCAUUGGAGUUCUCCACUUGAGGGGCUAGUAGGGUGCUGCAUUACUGUAAAUAUGCACCGCAUUUGGCUAGUGUAGGCCUCUGUGCCAUACCACUCCGUGGCCUUUGGGUCCAGUCUCGCACCCACCCCUCGAUGGGAUUGGUAGUUAUUACCUUGGUCAGAGCUGUUCGGGCAAUGGGCUCUGUAGCCAGCAAGGCAUGUUACACAGCAGCCAGUUGCUUCUCUAUCAAGGUGUACUGGACCUCUGCUCUUUUCCAUAGUUGUGACCAGAAUCCAGUAGGUUGGCGUGUCCGUUCAAGCCGCUGCCAAAGACCCUGUCCAUAACCAUCUUCACUUACAUGAACAUGUAGCUCACAGGGCCUUGAUCAGUCCAUUACAUUCAAGGCCUGCAUGGCCUUGACUGCCCACUUGGCAGCAAUAAAAGCAGCUGCACAUGUCUCAUCCCAGUCCCACCUGAUGCCCUUUCGUACCAACCAGUAUAAGGGCUUCAGAAUUUGUGCCAAUUGUGGGAUAUACAUUCUUCAGUAGCCAAAAAGACCCAAAAACUUUUGUAAGACUACCACAGUGGUAGGAGUAGGGAAAGCCUAGACCUUGUCUAUGACUGCUUCAGGAAUAACUUUAGUUUUACCCAACCAGAUAACCCCCAAGAAUUUUACAGACAAUCCAGGUCUUUGAACCUUGGUGCUGUUCACAGCCUGUCCUUUUUCCUGUAGAUGUUGCAGCAGGGAACUGCCCCUUCUAAAUCUGAAAGAGAAUCAGAUGAGAGCAUAAUAUCAUCAUUAUAGUGAUACAGCCUCACCAUUUGCGGUUUCUUCUAUGUGGCCAAGUCCUGGGCUACAAGUCCAUGACAGAUGGUGGGACUGUUGAGGUAUCCCUGUGGAAGGACAGUGAAUGUCCACUGCCGGCCUUCCCACAUGAAGGCAAACUGUUCCUGGCUUUCCUGUGCUAUGUCAGUAGAGAGGAAAGCAUUAGUAAGGUCUACUACAUAAUGAUACGUUCCCAGUUCAUGGCUAAGGGUGUCCAGAAUGUCUGCUAUAGAGGGGGCGGCAGCAUGCAAAGGGGGUGCGACUUUAUUCACUUCCCUGUAGUCCAUGGUCAUAUGCCAGGAGCCUUCUGGCUUUCUCACUGGCCACACUGGGAAAUUAAAAGGACUAUGAGUGAGCUUUAUGAUGCCCACCCUCUCCAACUCCUGUAGAGUUUCUCCAAUUUCCUUAUGCCCCCCAGGCAAUUUAUACUGCUUAGUAUUUGUCACCCACUGAGGUACAGGCAGAGCACACAGUAUACUCCUUUGGGUGUAAACACCCUGUUCCCAGUGGGAUUUAGUCUUUUUUCACUGUAAUUGUCGUACCCCCAUAGCCAUCUGUCACAGCAGCGGUCCCGGGAAAAUGCUCAGGGUUGCCAUAAAUCAGAGAACACUCAGGUCCUGUGUCCACCAGCGCCAGGACACAUACAUUCACGAGGGACCAAUGAAUUGCUAAUUCUACAUGUGGCCUCUGGUCCCCACCAUGUCCCCCAAGGUGGGGACCUUUAACCCCUGCUCCCCUCACCUCAGUCAAACUGCGAUGUGCAAUCCUCGUCCUGUGGGGCUGAGGGCUCAAGCGAAUCCUGAGUACUGUCUUCCAUGAAGUUUUGCAGGGACACAGGCUGGGUAUGAGUCCUUGACUGGUUUCCAUGUUCUGGACCUCAGCGGCUGGAACUGCUGCUCUGGCUUUAAUUGGUGCCACAGUUUUAGCAAGAUUCUAUUGGACUGCUCAUCAAGUUUUUCUUUCACUACCCUGGCCUUUAUCAAAUCAACCCACAUCUGGGUCCUCGAGUCCUUCACAGGACCUUUGGCACCUCUACUUUCAUUCGUAGCCUGUACUUAACUUCUGUGCCCUUAUUGUUUCCACCUCCUCCAGAUCUGCUAAAGUACAAGUAGCCUCACUUAUGGGUUGCCUAUGUGGGGAGCAAGAGUAGUCACUAGGGACCCAAAGAGAGAUAUGGGAGCUGUAUGGAGCACCAGAUUUCUCAUUCCUACAGUGAACACCUCAUCGGGGUCCUGGGGUCCAUAUUAUAGAUGAUAAUAGAUGAUAUGUUUCAUGCCCAAUUCCUGCAGUACCUUUUCCAAUCACUGCAUAGGUUUUCCAACUACUGGGAAAAUAUGGUAAAUCACCCCGAUUAAGCCAAACUACCCUGAUGGCAGCUGUCAGCCAUUCCAGGCGUGUCUGAUUCCCUGAGGCGUCAUGGGCAUUUUGCAACCACUGCCGGAGGGAAGGGUGAGUUGUCAGGGAAGCCAUUCUACUCAUCUCUGUACCUGAAAUAACAAGGUCUUCCUCCAUCCCCAUAUCCUAGAGACGUAAAAGCCACGUAAGGCAAAGAUUCCGAUGGCUUCUGCCUAUACUGGAUGCUCAUGUCCACCAGGUCAUCAUGGAUAUAGGGGCGGAGCAUUGAGUGCUCCACAACCUGGGGAGGGGGCUGCUCCUCCCCUUGAGGAGCCCGUGGUUGUUUCAUUUUUAUUUUCUUAAUUACAGCCAGGUGGGCCUUUAAAACAGGAGAGGAUGGUACCUCUGGCAGUGGCCUCCGUAGCAGAUGGGCUCGUGGCUCCGCCUCUCCUCUUCUCCCCCCAACCCCUGGCUCCUCCUCCGUCUCUGGGAGUGAAGGCACCACUCUUUGCUCUGCUUCCUCCCCGGGGCCUCCUGCAACAUGGCUUCUCCAGCCGCCUCCCCCCUCAUGGCUGCUAAGGAAUCUCCCAGGAGCGUGACCUGCCUUUUCAGUAACUCUCUUCCUUAACAGCACCCCAUAGGUUAUCACCCUGCUCCUCCAAGUGAUGCUGAAGUGUGUCUCUCUCCUCACUAACCCUCUCAAUAAUCCUCUCUUUCUCCUGUAUACCAUUUUCUACUAUCUCCAUGAAAAGAUACCCACAAUGCCAACCACUACACGGCCCCCUAGGGUCUCCAAGCAGUCUUUCAACUCACAGAGUACUUAAUUCUGCAGCUUCCCGUGUUUCCACCCUUCCCCAGGGAAGGCUCCACCCUCUAGGGGGUACUUUACCCUCGACCAGUUCCCCACUAGGGGCUCCCAAAUUGGAAGCCCCACAGAUGGGGGGUUAGUAACAAGUGAAGCUGCACCCUCUGCCACUGCAUCCACUGGGGCAUCCCCACCACCCACAGGGGCUUUCUGGGCAUCUCCCCACCAUCUCUAGGGGCAGCCCUCCCAUAGUUCGCACCCAUUUUAACAGAUUUUGGGUUCAGAGAUCCUGCUGACUACUGCCAGAUGUAACUAUGGGGAGAGGAAAUCACGGGGCAAAAUACCUCUAAAACUGAAAUCAGUCAAAGGGAGAAAUAAAGUUUAAAACCCGUUUAUUGCUUACAAACUGCAGCCAGGGGCUGUCUCUUUACUCCUUGGGGAGAAGCAAGCAAGACUUCCUCCUCACCUCUCAGGUUCAGAUAAGCCCUCUGUUGCCCAGGUAAUGAUCCAUUGAUAUGGAGAUGAACUACUUUCUCCACCCCUGAGGAAGGCCUGUUGUUAUGCAGAUGCACUAAAGCCAGGUGAGAUAUUCUGGAAAUAAUACAAUUUUACCCACAGAAGUUUACGUACUUGGAAAGUACAGGCGACCUCAGAGAGAGGAGCUCUGAAAGAUUGGGAAAACGUCAAAGUUACACACUUACAAAGUGAGGGUGACCCCAGAGAGAGGAGCACACUGAAAGGUUGGAGGUUCCUCUUUCUAAGGAUUUUUCAGGAAUGUGACAAAGGGCUGGGGGUGUGGACUUGUUAAGUGGUCCCCAAAUAUUUAAAAUUAAGUUAACACAAAUUUUACUGUUCUGAUUUCUCCCAGAGAUACUGGCUUCUUGGUCUGGGAACAUAUCAAAAAAGACUGCCUGCUCGGCCCUAAAGGUGGGCUGAGUUAUUGUCUGUUUGCUAAAGAGUAAGUUAAGAAUCUUACUUCCUUGUAAUGAGGUAUGUGGGGGGGGACUUGGUGAUGGGGGGAGUCUAGUAAACAUAAUGUUCCUCAUGCAAUUGUAGAUUAAUGAUACCAAAAUAAAAUUAAAAAAUUAAAAAAGAAUCUUCUUAACUUUCCUAGGUUUUAAAAUGCAAUCUUAUCUUUAAGUUGGAAUCUUUCCUGCCUUUCACUAUGUUAUGUACAGCUGGGCCUGCUUGAAAUCAGUUGUUGCCCAGGUUGCAAAUUACUUGGUUAGGGCUAAAGGAGGAAAAACAGCAUAUAGGUAAAGUUAAAAAUAAAAAGUAAGCUGGGCCUGCAUGAUUAACACAAUAAAGACAGGGGCUCUGCUGAGAUACCCUCCUUUAUCUGGGGAAUAUUCAAACAUUCCAUGCCAAGUUGCUCCUGGCCUUUUUGAGCUUCAACUGAUUAACUCAUUAACUCUGGGUCUUUUCUGGGUAUCUAGUUUUAACUGGUUAACUCUUUGAGUCCCUUUUAGUGGGCUUUACUGGCCUUAAUUCUUUCUCCACCCCGCUCAUAUAUAUUUUCCUGCCAAACACUCCUUGUUAAACAAUGAGGCACUAGAGACCCUGGCAGGAAGCUGUGUGGUGGGAGGGCCUUUUGUGAUUGAUAUGGUUAGGGUGUUCAGACUGCCAGCUGAUUUUUUUGCUUGGGGACCCCCAUUAUCUGUAGGUCUUUUCUCUGUGGUGAUAGGCUCCCCCGAGAGGAACACCUCAGAUUUCCUCGUGUGUGGGCUGUCUGUUGGAUUCUGGCACUAAAUAGGUGAAGGAGUUUGGGGUUUUCCAGGUGAGAAUACAGACUUUCACUUAAUUUUUUGGUUUACAGAUGUAAUCCCCAUGACUGUCUUCCCCUGUACCUAAUUUCCCUACAUCAGUAGUCUUUCAUACUCAUUUUUACAGAAACUAUUUCUCUUGUGUCCUACAAGGGUGUCGGGGAGAACUGGGCCCUGAGGGUCUAACUUCCCCUUAAAUGUCACUCAAGCAAUCUCUGUUUUUAGCAUCAUGCCCCCUACGCGCCCCUCAACAGGGAGGCUUGGUUAUUGCCAACAAGUCCUGCAUAAAUGUGGGGGAAGGACUACCUUUGUUUCUGUGAUCAUAGAGCUAGGCCGGUGUGGAUAAAAUGAGAGUUCCUGUGGCCAGGAUUCUCACCUGGCUGUGGUUGACUAGCUCACUGCACACCUGUGGGCAAUACAUGGCUGUUGACUCUAUAAAAAGAGCUCCACCCAGUGCUCUGGGCACGACAUGGUGGCAGGGCUGCAAGGUUGCAGGAGAGCAGAGCAGAGGCUGGAGUGGUGGCAGCGCCCAGGACAGAAGCCCAGAGGACAGCUGUGUGGGACGACUGUGCAGAGAGGCCUGGAGGAUGGCUGUACGGACAGAGGGGCCCAGGGGCCCAGAGGCAGAGACCGGCUUGCUACAUGCAGAUUUGCUGAGUGAACGGGAUUUUAGUGACUGAUCUGCCACCUGGAAAUAAAGUUGGGUAUAACCCUUUUCACCCGAAGAACAUUUUGCUGUCAUUUUCUUUGGUCACACUGAAUCCAUAGCGAACUUGCCCAGGGCUGAAACCCAUUGGCAAGACAGCCGGGUUUGUGAAACUUACCUCAUUUAAACACAAAGGUAAGAGAAUUCAGAAAAGAAAGAAAAGGAAAGGUGGUGCAGCAUCCUGCUUAGGGGAGGUCUGAUGUGAUUGGCAUAAGAAUGUGACUCAGGUGAUAGCAUUGUGCAAGGGCUCUUCUGUUUUAGUGAAAAUUCAUUUGGGAUGCCUUUGUAAUGUUUAGAUCACUCAGGGAAUAAAAAUCAUAUGUGUACACAUAACUUAUAAAGAAGCACCUUUGUUCUGUGUGUUAGGCUUGCUGUCUUGGACAUCACUGAGGAGUUAGUGUCUUGGGAUGGACACGUGUGCUGCUUCCCACUCGAAUAACUCUUGGUUUUCUUCCUGGACAUUCUUGAGGAUUGUUAGUUCAUCUUAGUACAUGGGUCCUUGUCCUGGUAAUGGACUGCUACAUAAUCCCAGUUUGGGGGGUUUGGGGAAACAAAAGGAACUUGAAGGACAGUGGUGACCAUGUGUCCAGGAGUUGUGUCUGAGCAGACAGGAGACCUCGAGUGUGUGGUCCAUAUACAGUUGCCCUUUAAAAGGAGAACUGAGCGAAAUGCAGAUUCAGUCAUUCAUUGAGUGCCCUCUGUGUGCCAAAUACUCUUCUAGAAGCUGGAGAUUAACCUAUGAACAAAGCAGACAAAAAUCCCUUUGUUCAUGGAGCUUAUUACAUUUUAACAGGGAGAAAUACAACAUGAAAAAAUACAGAAAAUGUACAGUGUUUCAGAUGGUGACAAGUUCUAUGGCAAGUAUUAGAAUGGUAGGGCAGUAAGGGGCUGAGGGAGUUUUGCAGUUUUAGUGAAUUGUCAGAGUGGGCCCCAUUCAGGAGGGUGACUGUAAAGCAAAACCUAAAGAAGGUGAGAGUGUAGAUUGUGUAUACCUGGAGGAAGGUGAUGUAAGCAGAGGGAAAACAGGAAUUGAAAAGCAAGGGAAGCAGUGUGGCUGGAGCAGAGGAAGUUAAGGGAGUGUGCUAGGACAGGAGCUCAAAGGGGCUGGACAUUUCCUGAGCUUGGACUGAAAAGCUGCUGCAACUUCGGCUGUCUCUCAAGCCCUCAGUGUGCUGAUGGUGUUCAGAGCCAUCAGCCUUGUUGAGGUCCCCAGUGAGUGAAUGUAGGUAGAGAAGAGGAGGUCCAGUGACACCUUAGCUGAGAAUUUGGGGAUGGAAAGGAAGCAGCAAGGAGCCGAGCAUACCUGGCCUGGCCAGUGAAGUGGGAGGAAACCAGUGGAGUUGGGGCAUCUUGGAGGCCAAAUAAAGAGAGCAUUUUGAGAAAGAAAGAUGGAACAGUUAGCCAUCAAAUCAAAUGCACUACCAGGUAAAGUAAGAUGGGGACUGAUGGUUAUUAAGUUUAGCGAUGUGAGAUGAUUGGUGACCCUGAGUUGUGGAGGUGGUGGGAGAUGGCAGAGGCUUACUAAAAGGAUGGUGAAAUAACUCAAAGCCCCUGGAGAAGAGACUAUGCCUCUGUCUUGUAUCCCUUGGCCCAGAGAUAGUGUUGUGCAAGGCUGCUCUUAGUAAAUAGCUAUUGAAGUGACUCUGGCUAUUAGAAACACUUUAUUCAAGGUGAAAAGUAUAAAACUUACAAUCUAUAUUGCUAUUAUCCAGCUAAUCUGAACUGUUCCUAGGGUUUUUUAAAAAAAUAAUUAUGUUAAAAACACAGUCCUUAUCUUUUAGAGAGAUACACUGAAAUAUUCAUGGAUAAAAUGAUACGUCAGGUGUGCUUCAAAAGUCACCUGGGGUGGGGUGUUUACAGAUGAACUAAGACUGGUGAACCUGAGUGAAGGCCUGGGAACUGGGAGGUACUUCCCUCCACCAUUCUCUCCACUUGUGAAAGUUCAAGACUUUUCAUUUUAAAAGCUAAGUGUUCAGUACAAGGUAGAAUUCUUCACUUUUUUCUCAGCUACUGCACUAUCAGAGAAUGUUUCUUCCCAUUGCUCCUCUAUAAUAUACUCCAACAUUAGACUUGGAAAACGCACUCUUGAGCAGUAAUAAAGGCUAGCAAAGCUGACAGACACAACAGUCCAUCUUUCGUUACCCUAUAAAUUAUCUGCUCCAAAACAGGAGCUCUCCUCCACCACCUCAGGAAGCUCAUCAAAGUCUGGAUACUCAGAUCACGGC